GUCAUGCCAAUGGCACUGCCCGGUAGCUAAAUGCGGAAGAGAUAAGUGCUGAAAGCAUCUAAGCACGAAACUUGCCCCGAGAUGAGUUCUCCCUGACCCUUUAAGGGUCCUGAAGGAACGUUGAAGACGACGACGUUGAUAGGCCGGGUGUGUAAGCGCAGCGAUGCGUUGAGCUAACCGGUACUAAUGAACCGUGAGGCUUAACCUUAC
rnacentral:rRNA from 1 species